GUCAUUUCAACCCUCAAGCCCCACGGCUUGGUGUUGGGGACCGGCCCCGGCCACCCCCUAAAUGCAGUGGCGACCUCGCCGCAGCCUCCCCUGCGUAGUAGCACAACCUCGCACCGGAGAGCGGAGACGGUCACGCCGUAAAAACGCCCAACUUUCUUAGAGUUGACCUCGGAUCAGGUAGGAAUACCCGCUGAACUUAA
rnacentral:misc_RNA from 1 species